rnacentral:piRNA from 1 species
AGGAUACUGUGGAGUCAGUUGUGCCC